GCCUGGGUGGCUCAGUGGUUGAGCAUCUGCCUUUUGCUCAGGUCAUGGUCCCAGGGUCCUGGGAUGGAGUCCUAGAUCAGGCU
rnacentral:tRNA from 1 species